rnacentral:lncRNA from 1 species
UCAAAGUUACGAAGAUAGGGAGAUGGGAUGGUGCCAUCCGGAUCAAAGCGAUAGUGCCGGAAGAGUUCUGCGGACAUGUGGUAGGAGCUCCCUAUCAUGACGAGAAGGAGCUCCAAGUACCUUAUUUUUGGGGCGGGGAACCAUGGGUGGAUAGUGAAGGAUUUGGAGUUUUGGACAUGGAGCUUGAUGUGAUUAAAGAGGUGCCACAACCCAAUGAGAAAGAACCCUAGCCCUGGAAAAAAGUGCCCUAUCAUAGAACUCGCCAUGUGAGCUAGAAAGAACUACCAAAGUGCCCUAAAACUCAGUUUUUAUGCUUUGAGGAAGACGUGAGAGGCUUGUUUGAGAUGGGGUUUUGAAGGGGUUUGGUCUUUGAUAUGGGAUUAGGGAGUUCUAUACUUCUAUUUCAAUUUGCAGUGCUCAUUAGGGUUUGAAGAAGAAAAGAGAGGCUUGUUUGAGAUGAGCUUUUGAAGGGGGUUUGAGGGGUUUUGGACGGGGUUGAUGAGGAGUUCUAUUUCAAUUUGCAGAGCUCAUUAGCGUCCUGCAUUGUAGGUGUGCCUUGGGAAGUAGGGGUAUUUAUACUUGAACAGUGAACAUGGCUGCCUUUUCUCUUUGAGGUAAAGAAUAUACAGUAGAAUGGUAGGGCAAUCCUAUUGGAUUUGAUUCAACUAAAUACUAAUUUUCAUGUACCCAUUUUGUUUAUGGAGAGAAAUAAUUUGUUUGGUAGAAAAGAAUUAGCAACACAUUAAAGAAAAUUUAGAAAAUGGGUUUUUAAAGGAAGAAAAUAGUUUUAAUUAUUGGCCCAUCAUUUGGUUUGUGGAGAGAAAAAUAAUUUGUUUCAUAGAGAAGAAUUACCAACACAUUAAAGAAAAUUUGGAAAAUGGGUUUUUAAAGGAAGAAAAUGGUUUUUAACUAUUAGUCCAUCAUUCUCGAUAUAAUUAUUAUGACCUAAAAAAUCGAUGAAUCCCUAAUUUGUAUUAAUCUUAGUCUCAUACAUGGACAAAUGAUGAAAUCCUAGAUUGUAUUAGUCUAAGUAUUACUUAAAAUAUAGUACAUUAAUAACAUAAUAAUUUUUUCAAAAGCAGGUAUCUUAAAUGUUUUAUAUAUCCUAACAACGUGGGCAAAAAUAGUUUGUAACUCAAUUAUCAAAUAGAGCAUUCUCAUCAUGAUCUUCAUCACUCACGCAUCAUCACGGUUUCAAUUUUUUUUUUUUUAAUACUGGAUUGAGCCUCAAUAUGUCAUGUAACAGUAGUCAUUUAUUCCAUUUUCAGAGCACAAGUGGCUUAGAAUAUCCACCAAUUUGGGGUUUAAGGCAAGGGGGCACCGCAUUUGGGUGUUGCUUUUCAUUAUAAGAAACGUUAGCAUAAGAAAGCUAGGUACGUACCCUUGGAAAUUGAUUGAUAACGUGUAGCCUUGGUGCAUUAUAAUCAAUUCAAAAGUUCAAUUAACAAUUUAGAAUUUUAGGGUAUCUGGUGGUAUGGUUUCAAGAAUUUAUUUCACACUCUGAACUUGAUUGAAACUCUCAUGCACGGUAAAUUAAUUUACAUGAUUUUAAAGUUAUGAUCUCAAAACAAGAGAACAAAGAAACUUGAAUCAAUAAAAAUAAUUGAAUAAUUACAUAGAUCGCGACAUGAUUUCAAGAAACUAAUACAUAACUUUCCAAAUAUUGCUUAUUGUUUCAACACACAUUGGAACACAAGUGAAAUCACCCAAAUUAGCUCAAAGCAAUUCAUGCAACCCAAACAACCUCACAUCAAUUUCCCUCAAAUCAAAUUCAUUUUCCCUCUAUUCCUUGUUUCCACUAAGCCAACAUUAAUCAUUGCUGGCCUAAUAAUUCAACAAAGAAUAAUGGAAUUCCCACCAAAUUAAUUAUUAACAAUUUAUAUAUAUAUAUAUAUAUAUAUAUAUAUAUAUAGAUAUAUCUUCCUUAGUUAUCUUGCUCUUCUCCUACAACCCAAGAUCAUCAUCGUCAUCAUGAUGUUCCACUCCUUUCUCUUCUUUCUUCUCCCAUGACAAGUUCUUGACCUUUUUUCCAUAAGCGUCAACCAAAAACAAGUAAAAGGACACUGAAAAUAUCAUGAUAGCAAUAAGAUACCAGCUGAACUCUAUGUUUAUCAGCGCUUUAGCACGAUGGAGCGACUCAUCAUCAUGGCAGCGAGCCUCCUGGUGACCACCCUCAUCCCAUAAAAGAGAGCACCCUUUAGGGAUAAAGCCUGGAGUCCAAAGCAUAACCCCUGUGGCCAUCAGCCAAACCCCAAGGAAAAGUAUACAAAGAGACCUAGAAAAACCAAGUAUAAAGCUCUUGGGAAAGCCUAUUGCCAUGAGACUAGUUGCCAUGGAGACAAGCGUGAGCAUCUGCAGAAACAAAUGGUAUUGUCCUUCCAGGCCGGCGUGGUCGGUGGAGUGAAGGCGAAACAUGAGUAACUGCUGGCCGAGGGCUACGGCAGCAAGGAGCUGAGUCAGGCCAUACUUAGCCUUAGCGGCAACAAAAUCAAGGACAAUGGAAAAAGAGGUGUAAACGAUGAAGGUUAUGGCGAUGGAGGCGUGCUCAAAGUUACGUAGAUAGGGAGAUGGGAUGGUGCCAUCCGGAUCAAAGCGAUGGUGCCGGAAGAGCUCAGUGAACACGUAGUAGGAGCUCCCUAUCAUGAUGAGAAGGAGCUCCAAGUACCUUAUUUUUGAGGCGGGGAACCAUGGGUGGAUAGUGAAGGAUUUGGGGUUUUGGACAUGGAGCUUGAUGUGAUUAAAGAGGUGCCACAACCCAAUGAGAAAGAACCCUAGUCCUGGAAAAAAGUGCCCUAUCAUAGACCUCGCCAUGUGAGCUAGAAAGAACUACCAAAGUGUCCCUAAAACUCAGUUUUUGUGCUUUGAGGAAGAAGAGAGGCUCGUUUGAGAUGGGGUUUUGAGGGGGUUUGAGGGGUUUUAGAUAUGGGGUAAGGGAGUUCUAUACUUUCAAUUUGCAGAGCUCAUUAGCGUUUGAGGAAGAAGAGAGAGGCUUGUUUGAGAUGGGCUUUUGAAGGGGUUUGAGGGCGUUUUAGAUGGGGUUGAUGAGGAGUUCUAUUUCAAUUUGCAGAGCUCGUUAGGGUCUGCC